rnacentral:rRNA from 1 species
GACGAACGCUGGCGGCGUGCCUAAUACAUGCAAGUCGAGCGAAGUUUUUCUGGUGCUUGCACUAGAAAAACUUAGCGGCGAACGGGUGAGUAACACGUAAAGAACCUGCCUCAUAGACUGGGACAACUAUUGGAAACGAUAGCUAAUACCGGAUAACAGUAUUUCUCGCAUGAGAGAUAUUUAAAAGUUGGUUAUGCUAACACUAUGAGAUGGCUUUGCGGUGCAUUAGCUAGUUGGCGGGGUAAAGGCCCACCAAGGCGACGAUGCAUAGCCGAACUGAGAGGGUGAUCGGCCACACUGGGACUGAGACACGGCCCAGACUCCUACGGGAGGCAGCAGUAGGGAAUCUUCCGCAAAGGGCGAAAGCCUGACGGAGCAACGCCGCGUGAGUGAAGAAGGAUUUCGGUUCGUAAAGCUCUGUUGUUAGGGAAGAAUGGAUAUGUAGUAACUAUACAUGUAAGAGACGGUACCUAACCAGAAAGCCACGGCUAACUACGUG